ensembl:misc_RNA Metazoa_SRP Metazoan signal recognition particle RNA
GCCAGGCAUGGUGGUGCAUGCCUGUAGUACCAGCUACUCUGGAGGCUGAGGCAGGAGGCUCACUUGAGCCCAGGAGUUCAAGACUGCAGUGAAUUGUGAUUGUAUCACUGCACUCCAGCCUGGGCAACAGAGCAAGAUCCUAUCUCAA